ensembl:lncRNA
GUCUUUCAGCGGCUAUGAGCCUGGAGAGCAGUUGGCAGUUAGUUAGCAGCAAGGAUUCGCCAUGAAACAGCCAAUGUGGGUGUGUGCAACAUCAACCGCUACAUGUAUUGCCACGCUGUUCGAAUCCGUUUGUGCAGUGGAUCAGGAAAGUUGAAACAAAAGGUCUGGCACUGCCGUUAAAGCAGAGAGCAGAGCUCUAGAGGUCAUAAAGGUAAAAGCACACCUGAUCUCAACACGUCCUUUGAUCGUUUCCCAGCAUUAGGCUGUUCAUUUAUGGCAGGUGUGUUUGGAAUGGCUGAGUGCCUCCUUUGACAGACAAAGUGUCAAGGCUAAGUGCUUUCAAUACAGCUGGCUGAUUUUCUCCUAUGUCACAAGUUCCUUACGGUUUGGCAUAACUAUACAAGGGGAAACCAGUGUUAUAAAGUGUCUCCUUCCCUCAUUAUUUAUCAUUAUAAAUGUCAUUAUUGUGAUUGUAUGAUUUAAGAAGGUCUACUGGUGGUUUAUCACAUUCAUAGUCCCGAGACUCAAACUUGAAGUGGCUCAUGGAGAGCAGCAGAGCACCUGAGCUGAAAGAGAAAGCGAACAGGACAACCUAUCCUGGAAACCCCCUCAGGUGUGACCAGAGGAAUCCAUUUUUAUUAUCGCCUGCCAGAUCGUGACAUGACGCUAACAGCAGCUUCACAGGAUCCGUUUCUGUUCUGACAGCAAAGACAAAGAAGACUCCUGGCAGCCUGGCAGGUUGGGAUUAUGACCCGACUUGUUAUGUUCUCCUGUUCUCGUCGCUGAAACGGAACAAUUACUGUUUAGUAUUUCCACAAGCCCAAUGCAGCCUUUCAGUGCUACACUUGCUGAAACAUAUGGCACUAGGGUGGAUAAUUAUCAUCGUCUAACCGGCAGACGGAAUUUGUUUCUGCAAUGGUUUUGGGCAGAUGCCAGUAAACAUCAUUAACCUGGGAGGCCCCACACAUCCAUCACUGGCUGCUUCACCGCUGCAGUGAUGGGCCAGGAUGUGUCUCUUUCUCUCAUAUUGCCUGCCGUGAUCAUUCAGCUGCUUUCAUCAACCACUCCUUCAUUAGUACUUUUAUUUCCAACAGAAAGAGGCCACUCCAGCAUAUCAUGUGGCUUUAAAGCCAGUACUAUUCAUUUAGGCAGCCUACGAAGGUUACAUGUAGGUUAUGUGUUUGUAUUUGCCUGUAAAUGUGUGUUAAAAUUGAGGAUUUUUUGUUUGCAACUUUUACUAACAGGUAUUUCUUUAAAAACCUUGGUAUUCUUGGCAAGUAAGGGCAUUUACCCUUAUAGUUUACGACCUUGCAAGAGCAGUGAUUUGAGUGCAGUGGUGCAAUCAUGGGUCUUGUUAAUUGCGACUAUAAAAGCGUAAUGAUCCUACUUCAGCACAUGUUGUGUUGUGGUCUUAUCAGGAACUCAUGCGAGUGCAUCUCAUCAGAUACUCUGACUCUCAUGUAGGGAAUGUAUGAGUGUGUUUGUGUGUGUGUGUGUGUGUGUGUGUGUGUGUAUGUGUGUUGUGUGUGUGUGUGUGUGUGUGUGUGUGUGUGAGAGAGAGUGUGUGUGCAGUACAUGGGCUCUUAUAGAUGCAUGGUAACCCAUACAAAAUUCUCAGAAUUUCUCCUCACACUCAUUAUAUAUUAAAGGCAUGUUUUUGAGGUGCAUGGAGUUUCUACGAGCUGAUAUUGGCUCUAUGUUGUGGGCACCCCACUGAGGCCUCAUAUUCCAAAACUUUGCUUUACCAUAUUAAAAAGCGU